rnacentral:lncRNA from 1 species
AACGCAGUCAGCGCGUGGCUUCACCGAGCGGCUCUGAGCCUCCUCUUCUCAUCAGAGCCACUGGCCAUUUCUUCCCACCUUCUGCUCCCAGAAUCCACCUCACUGGAGAAGACGAUGCCUAGGAAGCAACUGACUUUCUCACUUCUUGGUGGAGGAGAGGUCACCAUGCAGCUAAGUCAGAAGACCAAACACACUCUGCAUUGUUUUAGCAACAAUAACAAUGGACACAGGCCAAGAAGACUGCACGUUCACUUCUGGCAGUUCCACCCUGGCUCACCUAGAAACACACAACAGAUGCAUAGCGGGCAUUUUUAUACACUGUGUGUCUGUAUGAGUCUCCUGUUGCUGCUGUAACAAAUUACCACAAACCUAUCAGCUGAAAACAACCCAAGUUUAUUAUCUAACAGUUCUGGAGCUUGGAAGGCUAAAAUGAGUCUCACUGGAGGAAAAAAAAAAAUGAAGGUUUUGACAGGGCUGUGUUCCUUCUAGAGACACAGGGGAGAACGAUUCCUUGCUUUUUUCCAGCCUUUGAGAGGCUGCUACAUUCUUUGGCUCCUGGCCCUUUUCAACGUCAAAGUCAGCAGUCGCAUCCCUCUGACUCCUGUUUCUACUGUCACCAUUGCCUUCUCCCAUUCUGAGUCUCCUGUCCCCCUUGUGAUUCCAUGAGACUUACGGGGAUAAUCCAGGAUCAUCUUCCCAGCUCAAGAUCCCUAACAAGAUCACAUCUGCCACGUCCCUUUGGCCACACAGAGUAACAUGCUCACGGGUUAAGGGCUCUGGAUGUGGACCUCUUUGGGGGGACAGGUGUCAGCCCCAUGCUUGUGUGUGCUGGAUAGGGAUCCUCUUUCUCCAAAGGAUGCUUCUGUAUCGAAUCCUUAACAGUGAAGUUCUCUUACGUAAGGUUGGCAAAAGGAUCAGGGAGGCUGUUCAGAAAUGUGACUUGUGCUGAUGAAAUCAAAACUCCCGGACAGAAUAUAAAAUGGUGCAGCCACUAUGGACCAGGGUAUGGAGGUUCCUCAAAAAACUGAAAAGAGAACUACCACAUGACCCAACAAUCCUAAUCUUAGGCAGAGACCCAGACAAAACUGUAAUUCAAAAAGAUACAUGCACCCCUAUGUUCAUAGCGGCUCUAUUUACAACAGCCAAGACAUGGACACAACCUAAUGCUGAAUGGAUAAAGAGGAUGUGGUAUGUAUAUGUGUACACACACACACACACACACACGCACAUGCACACGCACACAAAUGGGAAUAUUACUCAACCACAAAAAGAAUGAAAUAAUGCCAUUUGCAUCAACAUGGAUGGACCCAGAGAUGAUCAUACUAAGCAAGCUCACUGCAGGCAGAUUUCCAGGAUGCAGAGCCGGGCAGCCAUCCUUCUGCGUAGGAAAUAACUCUCCGCCAGGACGUGAAGCAUCUUUUCACUUAAGUUUUCUAAACGCAAGAAAAAAUGUUUAUCUAUGUGAGUCACUGCAGAUCUUUUGCAACAUGUUUUUUUGGGACUGUCGACUAAUGUUGUCCAAGAGAGGAUCCAAGUGGAACCAAGCAAAAUGUCAAGUAAAAUAUGGUUUCAGGCAUCUGUCUGAAGUCAAUAGAGUACUCAGACUUUCUGCGAUGAGUAUUCAGGGCAUGACCUAUUCUUAGGAUUCCAGUCAUUCAAUACUUUGGUGAAGAUAAUGCUGGACCCCUCACGUUUAAGACUUUCCAAUGCUUCUUAGAAUAGGAGGCUGUGCAAAGGUCAUGGAAGGUUCUUGCACUGAGGCAGCUGCCUACGUCAGACUCAGAAGGAAUCCACCAAGCCAGGAUAAUGUACACAUGUCCUGACAUGUGACUCAGGUCCUAGACCCCACAGUCCUCUGAGACCAAUCAAAGCAUUUAGUGCUUUAGAAGCUUUGGGGAUGAGGGGGAAGGGGGAGAGGGAGUUGCCUAGAAACUAAAACUAGAAUCUGGAAAAAAGUAAAGAUCCAGCCUAACUGGUCUGUGGAACAGUUUCCUAUCUUUAAAGUGAAUCCAAGGUUGUAAAACUUUGUCUCAAAAUUGUACUCAACAGUCAGUUCAACUCAGGAAGGGGUUCAACUGUAGAAAGCAAAGACCUGGUUCAGUUUCUGUGGCCACCAGGUGGCACAUUUUGCUAAAGAAUAUGGUCACCAUUGAGAAGAGUUUUACAAAGGUCAAACCUCAGUGACGUUUUGGGGCUACGGCUCCCACCAAAUGUUGAAAUACAUCCUCAGAGUUCACACUGCUUCUGUGAUUAAAAAAGAAACACACUGAGUUCCCAUCGUGGUACGACUAGGAACCUUGGGGUUGCGGGUUCGAUUCCUGGCCUUGCUCAGUGGGUUAAGGAUCUGGUGUUGCUGUGAGCUGUGGUGUAGGUUGCAGACGCGGCUCGGAUCCUGCGUUGCUGUGGCUCUGGCGUUGGCUGGAAGCUUCAGCUCCGAUUCGACCCCUAGCCUGGGA